rnacentral:rRNA from 1 species
UACAGAGGUGGCAAGCGUUGUUCGGAAUUACUGGGCGUAAAGGGCGAGUAGGUGGCCAUCUAAGUCAGACGUGAAAUCCCCCGGCUUAACCUGGGAACUGCGUCUGAUACUGGACGGCUUGAGUAUGGGAGAGGAACGUAGAAUUCCCGGUGUAGCGGUGAAAUGCGCAGAUAUCGGGAGGAACACCAGUAGCGAAGGCGGCUCGCUGGGCCGUUCCUGACGCUGAGACGCGAAAAGCUAGGGGGAGCGAACAGG